CACUCAGAAUAACCUUUGAUCUUUACGCACACACGUUGAGACUCGGCUGUGUUAGUCACCUGUAAAUGUCGGGAUGCACAAUCAUCACUCAUGCAAUGAAAAAGAAAUGCCAGGUACAACGAGUGCCCUGAGACGGUCACAGAGAGGCACUCACACACACUCUGGUCUUACCUGUGGCUGUAACUGAACAAAACAACAGAAAACAUCUUACAACACUGACUCAUGUGAGGUAGUAUACUGGCAUCCUUGUAAGUACUUUUAUCACUGUAUAACAGUAUAUUAAUAAGGAGUUAAUUCAUAAUAUAAGGAUUAAAGCUAACUCAUAGUGUCGUUUUUUAAAUUUUACUUUUUCUCUUCAGUUGUUAGUAUUUCCCAAACCAAGCUGAAUUUUUCUCUAUACUUUUUCUAUCCAUAGCCUAAUGAUGAGAUAAUCAAUGCUCAUUCAAAACCAGCUCAGAAAUUAAUCAAAUAUAUUUUUAAGUGUCCUUCUACACAUUUGUGCAUCCAUACAGUCAGACAUUUUGUCUUAAAAAUAUAAUUUCCUAGAUCUGGAACCGUAUUCCAAGAAAUAAUUUCCAUUUACCACCUUAAAAAAGUGACCCAUGCUUGCUAAAACACAAGUUUACAGAGUUCUACCACCACGCUAGCAGCUUUGUGAGGCUGUAGUGUAAAUGCUAAUGACAGCAUGCUAAGAUGCUUGCCGUGACAAUGUUAACAUGCUGAUGUUUAGCAGGUGUAAUGUUGACCAUGUUAACACUCACACAGUGAGCAUUAGCACAGAACACAGCUGGGGCUGAUAGGGAUAUGUUGUAGAUCAAUGGUCAGAAAUCAAAGUAAGCUCUUGGACAAAUUGAAACCUUGACCUGGUGAUGGUGCUAGAGCCUAUAUGAAAAGUUAAUGAGUCACCAAAAUGAUUACAAUUUAAUCUGAGGGCAACAUGAAGGUCUGAACCGAAUUGUAUCACAAUCCAUCCGAUAGUUAUUGAGAAAUUUCAGUCUGGACCAAAGUGGUGGAGUGACCAACCCUGCCAUGCCACUAGCAUGGCGAAAAAAUACAAACAUUUUGAAGUGACAGAAUGUGUUUACAUAUAUUAGCAUAAGAAAACAUUUAUUAUAUAAAAGACAGAAUGGCAGCACAUUCCUUUCACAUUUUAUAGCAAAAUUUGGCAAGCCUGUCACACGAGGUAAUCUCUGGACUUUUUGUAAUGUUACCCAGUAGCACAAGUUUUAUUUACUGAUUGUAAAAGUUUAAAGGUCAUUCUGCCAUCCCACCUCCUCCCUUUGAUUUCCCUGGAUCCCCUGAGAAGAGCAGCAUCAAAGCCUCGCCUAGAUCAACUCAUUAAGGGGCUUCCCUCUGAUCACAGCCCUGCACAGCUCUUCAGCUUCAAGUGGAGCACUCGCUCUCUCAUGCAAACACACUGAAAACAUUCAACACACACAUACACAUCAUCCACGAAGACAGAGACAACCCGGCGUUCAAAAGCACCAAUUUAGAAUUGCCCGGUUUUAGCAAAAGACAUGUUAUCUGAAAAUGCUUUUUAAUAGAGGCAAGAUGUAAUCUUAUCUCCGCUUCCUGUACCUCUGUUUUAUAUCUGCUUAGCUGUCAUGUUUAAAUUAAUAAGACAUAUAUGUAUUUAAAUGACUGUAGUUAUCUGUAUAGUCUCCUCUAGAUGAGAAACACUUACACUUCAACUUAUUUUAAGGUAACAAAAACAUCACGAUUCUUAUUUCCAGGUGAUUUUACACUAAUUAAUUCAUACCUAUGAAUAUUAUAUUCCAUUUCUAGAUUCUCCUAAAUGUAACACACUGGACCUUUAAGGUUCAUUUUUUAAAACUUUUUCUGGGGUUUUGUAUCUCUUCAGGACCAAACUUUGUCUUCUGAAUAAUUCCAUUGGAUGUGAAGCUAUGGAAAAAGCCAGUCACUGACACUUUCUCCUGCGUCACACUCCUGCCGGAAAUAUUGUGAUGUUACACCAUCUCUGUUUGUCCAUGGAUGAGGAUGAAGUUUAACAAAAAGGAGCACAGACUGCAACGUACGCCACCAGUAGCUGAUGUGAACAUGUGUUUUAGGAUUAAGAUUUUUUCCAUUAACACUUAUCAGUGGAAGCACACAAAGCCAAAAUAUGAAUAUUCAUAGACGCUGUGAAGUCAUCAAAUGAAAUAUUCAACACAUUCGGGAUAUUCAAAGAGUCUCCUAAUGAAGGGGGCAACAUUGCUCUGGUAAAUCAGAGACCUGCAGGCACUUUGUGAAUCUAGUUCAAGAUGAACAUUAAUUCAUCAGGAUUAUUUAGAAUUCAUGUGGCGACAACAGCCCCUCUGCAUUUAAACCGUACCGACACUCACAAACACACACACACACACACACACACACACACACACACACACACACAAACACGUCAUCUUUAUUUUCCUGUUUCUAUUAAAUGCUACACAAUAACACACCAUGCUUUCUCAUUUGGACACCUUGACCUCCAUUUUCGCGAAGGUGCUAAGUUGGUAAAAACAGGAAUGCAAAAGCGACAUUUUCAUCGGACAUUUUUUGCACUCUCCAUUUAGGAUGAGAAGGCAAUUUGUGCGUGUAAACUGUGAACGCUGCCAGAGCUAUUGUACGCUGCCACAAAACAAGACGGUGUUGUACGGAAAACAUAUUAAAUAAAUAGAAGUCAAAAGCA